rnacentral:misc_RNA from 1 species
GUCGAAUCUUUUGUACACAAGUACAAGGCAUCAAAUAAUGGGAAAUUCCCUCCGAUAUCACAUACUCUGAAACAAGUAGGUGGCUCUUUUUAUGUUGUUAGGAAAAUCCUUCAGGAGCUUCAGAAUGAAUCUGCAACGUCGUCCUUAAAAUGUAGAAGUAAAAAGUCAUUUCAAGAAACGGAAAUCAAAGAGAACCCUAAUGUUGGUGGCAAACAUUUGGAAGCAGC